rnacentral:lncRNA from 1 species
GGGGGGGAGGGGAGCGGUGGGCCAGGUGGGAGGCAGGCGGACGAAGGAAUGCACGGCUCGCUGCUUCCUCCGGACCCUCAAAGUCUCCCUACGGCCGAACGCUUGGGGUUUAUUUAUUUAUUUUUUUACGAGUUUCGGGACGGAAAAUUAACGAGAGAGCGCCCAGCAGCCCUCUCCUUCCACCUCUUUGCGACUUCCAGGGAAACUACAAGACUUUCCCCGAGAGGAAGGGGAUGUGGGGAGGCUCCCUUCGGAAGCAAAAGGUCUUCCUUGUGUACACCCAGGAAGCCAGGCUUCACCGAUGACAAAGGGAAGACCCCGCUUGCUCCCUUUGUUCAGCCUCACUCCAUUCCUCAGGAAGUGAUCCCACAGGGCAAGCUUUGCCCUAUUCCAGAUCAGAUCAGUCGCUCAGUCGUGUCCGACUCCUUGCAACCCCAUGAAUCGCAGCAGGCCAGGCCUCCCUGUCCAACACCAACUCCCGGAGUUCACUGAGACUCACGUCUAUCGAGUCAGCG